CACUCUCUGUCUGUCGGUCUGUCUCAGUCUCUGUCUCUGUCUGUCUCACUCUCUGUCUGUAUGUCUGUCCCACCCCAGAAUUUAAUAUAUCUGUGCAGAAAUAUGUACAUAGCCUUCAUUAAUCUGUGAAACUAAUGGGCUAAAUAUUAUAGUCCAUUUUCUGUAGUAAGCUCAGAAUUUCUAGACCUUUGUGAGAAGAUGUUGUUUGAUCAGUUACAGGUUUAAACCCUGGUUAUUGGUUAUUGGGUGUCAUGUCAAUACCAAUCUACACCUGUGGCAUACACACUAUACAGCCUGUGGUGUGUGGAGAGUUAAUGACCACAGCAAUCUACACUCACUAAAGAUAGGAGGGGUUUUCCUGAAAUAAUCACAGCCUGGGAAGUCUGGGAAUUGUUUUUGUCUCUUAGUUCCAGUGAAGGGAAACUCGAGGACUUUCUGUACAACUUUGCGGGAACAUUUUGUGAACAAAAUAAAAUCGGAGGCAUAGAAGCCUUUAUUAUUGCCACAUAUACAUUACAGCACAGUGGAAUUCUUAUCCCAACACACACAUCCCAACUUUGGAGUCAGAGCACAGGGGCAGCCAUGAUAAAGCACCACUAGAGCAGGGAGUGUUAAGGGCCAUGCUUAAGGGCCCAACAGUGGCUGUGCUGGAGCUUGAACCCUGAUCUUCCAAACAACAACCAAAAGCCUCGACCAUGUGAGCCACCACUGUCCCGAGUGUGUAUGUAUGUAUGUAUGUAUGUAUGUAUGUAUGUAUGUAUGUAUGUAUGUAUAUGAGUGUGUGUGUGUCAGUUCAGUGUGUGCACGUUGGUCAGGUGUGUACAUACAUUUGACUAUAUAGCGUAAAGUGUGUGUGUGUGUGUGUCUGUUUGGUAUUUCGAAUGCUACCGUCGUCUGUACAGUAUUUUCAGAAACAGGUUACCAAGCGGUAACAAUAACAAUCAUCCGUCUCAAUAAAAUCUGCGUCUAUCAUAAACAACAGGGAGCUAUUUACUCCAUUAGGUGCCAUAAAACAAGUCUAUAAAGCAGACUUGGCCUGUUCCUCAACUUACUGCUCACAGGUGGAUCGUAGCCUGCUCAGGAUUACCACGUACUCCACACUACGCUCCUCUGUAGCCGGCAUCCGCUCACAUCAUGUUUUCUCAUCUCCAGCUGAGAAGGUACGACGGAGGGGUAUAACGACCGCGCCGUCUCCAGCCCGAGGCUCCGACACACACGCCAGCACCUUGUGAAAGAGGCCUCCUGUAGCUGGAGCCAACGAGGGCUUUGGGUCCAGCGAUGGGAAGCAGAUGUCAGGCAAAAGCCCCGCCGUUUCCCUUUACGAGAAAAGAAACCGACUUGAAUUGGCGAAAUCACAAGCACAGGAUUUUUCUCCUCCAAGUGAAGACACGCAUGCAACGAAUUUCUACGAGAGACGUACUCGCGUUCAACUCGCGUUCAACUCGACACCGAACACGUCUCGACUCGAAUCCGUGGAAAAUCGGCGACGUUUGAAAAAUCCCAAGUUGCUAAUAUCGCGGAAUAUACGUUAUUUAUUGUACUUUAAUUCCUGUGAACGCAAAAUCAUGAAACCCGUGAGGAACAGAAUGAAAGCACGACAGGGAAGAUCACGUCACAAGGUGUAUGAUUGUUGUGGACAAAUAAAAUUCGAAUUUAAAUGAACUCACAUUAAAUCGGUUUACAA